UGUCAUGGGAAUAAGUCCGUUAGCAUCACAACCGUGAGCUAACAGAGGCUAACUAUAAGAGCAGAGUUGGAGUGGACCUCUUGUUGAAGAACUUCUCCAGGCACUAUGAACCAUCUGACUAAUGCUGUCAUGAAACGCCAUGAAAAGGCAACUGCUGGACACCUGGGACAGGCCAUCAAUUCCAAGUUGGCGUCAAUUCCCUGUUAGAAUUUAGAGUUGUCUAAUAGAGAGGGUGAA